UACGUAGGGUGCAAGCGUUGUCCGGAAUUAUUGGGCGUAAAGAGCUCGUAGGCGGUUUGUCGCGUCUGCUGUGAAAACUCGGGGCUUAACCCCGGGCCUGCAGUGGGUACGGGCAGACUAGAGUGCGGUAGGGGAGACUGGAAUUCCUGGUGUAGCGGUGAAAUGCGUAGAUAUCAGGAGGAACACCGGUGGCGAAGGCGGGUCUCUGGGCCGUAACUGACGCUGAGGAGCGAAAGCGUGGGGAGCAAACAGG
rnacentral:rRNA from 1 species